rnacentral:rRNA from 1 species
UACGGAGGGGGCAAGCGUUGUUCGGAAUUACUGGGCGUAAAGGGCGCGUAGGCGGCCUUCUAAGUCGAACGUGAAAUCCCCGGGCUCAACCCGGGAACUGCGUCCGAUACUGGAAGGCUUGAAUCCGGGAGAGGGAUGCGGAAUUCCAGGUGUAGCGGUGAAAUGCGUAGAUAUCGUAAGGAAGACCAGUGGCGAAGGCGGGUCUCUGGACAGUUCCUGACGCUGAGGCACGAAGGUCAGGGGAGCAAACGGG